GACGAACGCUGGCGGCGUGCCUAAUACAUGCAAGUAGGACGCAGUUGCGAACGGGUGAGUAACGCGUAGGUAACUGCCUAUUAGAGGGGGAUAACUAUUGGAAACGAUAGCUAAUACCGCAUACUAGUAGAUGGACCUGCGUUGUAUUAGCUAGUAGGUAGGGUAAUGGCCUACCUAGGCGACGAUACCUAGCCGAGCUGAGAGGGUGAUCCGGCACACUGGGACUGAGACACGGCCCAGACUCCUUCGGGAGGCAGCCGGAGGGAAUCUUCGGCAAUUGGGGGAACCCUGAACGAGCAAAGGCGCGUGAGUGAAGAAGGGUUUCGGAUCGUAAAGCUCUGUUGAUAAGGAAGCGGUACUUAACCAGAAAGGGACGGCUAACUACGUGCCAGCCGCCGCGGUAAUAC
rnacentral:rRNA from 1 species